GUUGUAUGGUUAAGUGACUAAGCGUACACGGUGGAUGCCUGGGCAGUCAGAGGCGAUGAAGGACGUACUAACUUGCGAUAAGCGCAGAUAAGGCAGUAAGAGCCGUUUGAGUCUGCGAUUUCCGAAUGGGGAAACCCAACUGCAUAAGCAGUUACUGUUAACUGAAUACAUAGGUUAACAGAGCAAACCGGGGAACUGAAACAUCUAAGUACCCCGAGGAGAAGAAAUCAACCGAGAUUCCGGUAGUAGCGGCGAGCGAACCUGGAUUAGCCCUUAAGCACUCGGUGAAGUAGGUGAACAAGCUGGAAAGCUUGGCGAUACAGGGUGAUAGCCCCGUAACCGACGCUUCAUCGAGCGUGAAAUCGAGUAGGGCGGGACACGUGAUAUCCUGUCUGAAUAUGGGGGGACCAUCCUCCAAGGCUAAAUACUCCUGACUGACCGAUAGUGAACCAGUACCGUGAGGGAAAGGCGAAAAGAACCCCUGUGAGGGGAGUGAAAUAGAACCUGAAACCGUGUACGUACAAGCAGUAGGAGCACCUUCGUGGUGUGACUGCGUACCUUUUGUAUAAUGGGUCAGCGACUUAUAUUCAGUGGCAAGGUUAACCGUAUAGGGGAGCCGUAGCGAAAGCGAGUCUUAACUGGGCGCUCAGUCUCUGGAUAUAGACCCGAAACCGGGUGAUCUAGCCAUGGGCAGGUUGAAGGUUGAGUAACAUCAACUGGAGGACCGAACCGACUAAUGUUGAAAAAUUAGCGGAUGACUUGUGGCUAGGGGUGAAAGGCCAAUCAAACUCGGAGAUAGCUGGUUCUCCCCGAAAGCUAUUUAGGUAGCGCCUCGGACGAAUACUACUGGGGUAGAGCACUGUUAAGGCUAGGGGUCAUCCCGACUUACCAACCCUUUGCAAACUCCGAAUACCAGUAAGUACUAUCCGGGAGACACACGGCGGGUGCUAACGUCCGUCGUGGAGAGGGAAACAACCCAGACCGCCAGCUAAGGUCCCAAAGUAUUGCUAAGUGGGAAACGAUGUGGGAAGGCUCAGACAGCUAGGAUGUUGGCUUAGAAGCAGCCAUCAUUUAAAGAAAGCGUAAUAGCUCACUAGUCGAGUCGGCCUGCGCGGAAGAUGUAACGGGGCUAAGCAAUACACCGAAGCUGCGGCAAUAUCUUUUAGAUAUUGGGUAGGGAGCGUUCUGUAAGCCGUUGAAGGUGAAUCGUAAGGUUUGCUGGAGGUAUCAGAAGUGCGAAUGCUGACAUGAGUAACGACAAAGGGGGUGAAAAACCUCCUCGCCGGAAGACCAAGGGUUCCUGUCCAACGUUAAUCGGGGCAGGGUGAGUCGACCCCUAAGGUGAGGCCGAAAGGCGUAAUCGAUGGGAAACGGGUUAAUAUUCCCGUACUUCUGACUAUUGCGAUGGGGGGACGGAGAAGGCUAGGUGGGCCAGGCGACGGUUGUCCUGGUUCAAGUGCGUAGGCUUGAGAGUUAGGUAAAUCCGGCUCUCUCUAAGGCUGAGACACGACGUCGAGCUGCUACGGCAGUGAAGUCAUUGAUGCCAUGCUUCCAGGAAAAGCCUCUAAGCUUCAGAUAGUCAGGAAUCGUACCCCAAACCGACACAGGUGGUCGGGUAGAGAAUACCAAGGCGCUUGAGAGAACUCGGGUGAAGGAACUAGGCAAAAUGGUACCGUAACUUCGGGAGAAGGUACGCUCUUGAUGGUGAAGUCCCUCGCGGAUGGAGCUGACGAGAGUCGCAGAUACCAGGUGGCUGCAACUGUUUAUUAAAAACACAGCACUGUGCAAAAUCGCAAGAUGACGUAUACGGUGUGACGCCUGCCCGGUGCCGGAAGGUUAAUUGAUGGGGUUAGCGCAAGCGAAGCUCUUGAUCGAAGCCCCGGUAAACGGCGGCCGUAACUAUAACGGUCCUAAGGUAGCGAAAUUCCUUGUCGGGUAAGUUCCGACCUGCACGAAUGGCGUAAUGAUGGCCACGCUGUCUCCACCCGAGACUCAGUGAAAUUGAAAUCGCUGUGAAGAUGCAGUGUACCCGCGGCUAGACGGAAAGACCCCGUGAACCUUUACUACAGCUUGGCACUGAACAUUGAACCUACAUGUGUAGGAUAGGUGGGAGGCUAUGAAGACGUGACGCUAGUUGCGUUGGAGCCGUCCUUGAAAUACCACCCUUGUAUGUUUGAUGUUCUAACUUAGACCCGUUAUCCGGGUUGAGGACAGUGCCUGGUGGGUAGUUUGACUGGGGCGGUCUCCUCCCAAAGAGUAACGGAGGAGCACGAAGGUGGGCUAAUCACGGUUGGACAUCGUGAGGUUAGUGCAAUGGCAUAAGCCCGCUUAACUGCGAGAAUGACGGUUCGAGCAGGUGCGAAAGCAGGUCAUAGUGAUCCGGUGGUUCUGUAUGGAAGGGCCAUCGCUCAACGGAUAAAAGGUACUCCGGGGAUAACAGGCUGAUACCGCCCAAGAGUUCAUAUCGACGGCGGUGUUUGGCACCUCGAUGUCGGCUCAUCACAUCCUGGGGCUGAAGUCGGUCCCAAGGGUAUGGCUGUUCGCCAUUUAAAGUGGUACGCGAGCUGGGUUUAGAACGUCGUGAGACAGUUCGGUCCCUAUCUGCCGUGGGCGUUGGAAGAUUGAAGGGGGCUGCUCCUAGUACGAGAGGACCGGAGUGGACGAACCUCUGGUGUUCGGGUUGUGUCGCCAGACGCAUUGCCCGGUAGCUAAGUUCGGAAUUGAUAAGCGCUGAAAGCAUCUAAGCGCGAAGCGAGCCCUGAGAUGAGUCUUCCCUGAUACUUUAAGUAUCCUAAAGGGUUGUUCGAGACUAGAACGUUGAUAGGCAGGGUGUGUAAGCGUUGUGAGGCGUUGAGCUAACCUGUACUAAUUGCCCGUGAGGCUUAACCAUACAACACCCAAGGGGUUUUGUA
rnacentral:rRNA from 1 species